CGGGGUGAUGAGCGGCUGCGAACGAUGACCCUCGAAGUGUGCGCCCUUCGACAGAUCAAGCGAUUCGGCUGAUGAGGGAUCAAAUCAACCGGGUUCGAAAACCUUCACUAGGUUCGGCUGGUAUGAGCCGAAUGUAUUGACUGAGCAAGGAUUGAGGUCGGCCGAUGAGCCGAAUAGAAGAAGUACACAGUAAUUGGUCGGCUGAAAGAGCCGAAUGGAAGAUGUAUACAAUGACUGGUAGGUUGAAAGAGCCGAAUGCCUUUAUAUAAUAAUAAAAAAGAGUGUGCCCGAAGGGCAUACAGAUUCAGAAAUAUAGUUUACAACAGAGUGAUACCCGUGGGGUAGACAGACUCUGCAAAUGUAGUCUACAACG
rnacentral:lncRNA from 1 species